rnacentral:rRNA from 1 species
CCUGGUUGAUUCUGCCAUUAGUCAUAUGCUUGUCUCAAAGAUUAAGCCAUGCAUGUCUAAGUAUAAGCAACUUUGUACUGUGAAACUGCGAAUGGCUCAUUAAAUCAGUUAUAGUUUAUUUGAUGGUUUUUGCUACAUGGAUAACUGUGGUAAUUCUAGAGCUAAUACAUGCAUUCAAGCCCCGACUUCUGGAAGGGGUGUAUUUAUUAGAUAAAAAUCAACUUUGUUGGUGAAUCAUAAUAACUUCUCGGACCGCAUGGCCUCGUGCUGGCGGUGCUUCAUUCAAAUAUCUGCCCUAUCAACUGUCGAUGGUAGGAUAGAGGCCUACCAUGGUUGCAACGGGUAACGGGGAAUAAGGGUUCGAUUCCGGAGAGGGAGCCUGAGAAACGGCUACCACAUCCAAGGAAGGCAGCAGGCGCGCAAAUUACCCAAUCCCAACACGGGGAGGUAGUGACAAUAUGUAACAAUAUACGGCCUUAUACGUCGUAUAAUUGGAAUGAGUACAAUUUAAAUCCCUUAACGAGGAACAAUUGGAGGGCAAGUCUGGUGCCAGCAGCCGCGGUAAUUCCAGCUCCAAUAGCGUAUAUUAAAGUUGUUGCAGUUAAAAAGCUCGUAGUUGGACCUUGGACCUGGACAGGCGGUCCGCCUCACGGCGAGUACUGUCUUGCUGGGUCUUUCCUCUUGGUGAUCUGUUGUUUCGGCAGCAGGGAACCAGGACCUUUACUUUGAAAAAAUUAGAGUGUUCAAAGCAGGCUCGACGCCGGAAUAUAUUAGCAUGGAAUAAUAAAAUAGGACGUGCGGUUCUAUUUUGUUGGUUUUUGGAAUCGCCGUAAUGAUUAAUAGGGACAGUCGGGGGCAUUAGUACUCACAUGCU